GACGAACGCUGGCGGCGUGCUUAACACAUGCAAGUCGAACGGAAAGGCCUGCUUUCCCUUGUGGAUUGCGGGUACUCGAGUGGCGAACGGGUGAGUAACACGUGAGUGAUCUGCCCCCAACUUGGGUAUAAGCCUGGGAAACUGGGUCUAAUUCCCGAUAGGACUGCAGGGUGGUGCCUGUGGUGGAAAACGAUUUUCUAGUGGUUGGGGAUGAGCUCGCGGCCUAUCAGCUUGUUGGUGGGGUAAUGACCUACCAAGGCGGCGACGGGUAGCCGGCCUGAGAGGGUGGACGGCCACAUUGGGACUGAGAUACGGCCCAGACUCCUACGGGAGGCAGCAGUGGGGAAUAGUGCACAAUGGGCGGAAGCCUGAUGCAGCGACGCCGCGUGGGGGAUGACGGCCUUCGGGUGGUAAACUCCUUUCGACCGCGAGGAAGCCACCUGGUUGGAAGGGUGGUGACGGUAGUGGUAGAAGAAGCACCGGCUAACUACGUG
rnacentral:rRNA from 1 species